UAUGGCUGGUCAUAACGUCCGACGUAAAUUUUACUUGAUACGAGACAUCUGCGAAGAUUUCAGCGGAAAAUUGAAGAGAGAUGGUAGCUACGAGGAAAAUUUUGCUGUUCUUCACAUUCUUCACAUUAGCAUUUGUCCUUACACCUGCGAGGAGCAAAGCUCAAGGUCGAAAAGUGCAAGAGACGCGUUCGUGUCCCGAUAAAGUGUCGGGUUGGGAUCUGGUCAGAAUGGUAUUCACCAAGACGUGCAGAGCUUCCUCGGAAUGUGAUAUGAUUUGCUGCACCUCAACGCAUCGCAACUUCUGUACCGAGGAUUACUACACUCAUUUGUACGAUUUUGCACGGCCUCCCGGAAAAGUGAACUCCCCUUCACCGAUACCGCCGCCCAAUAUUGCCGAUUUCCCGGGAUUCGAUUGGGACUGGGAGAGCGUUCACUACGUGUUACGGCGUCACGUGACACCGGCUCACCGGAGAAAGAUUUUGUGACUGAGCCUGGAAGCCCGACCCAGUCGAAGAAGGGGUUGUUUCCAUCCCGUGGGUCCAGUGUCCCAUAGCUCGUUAUUUAUGCCACGGGACCGAUUACUAAAUGACAGUAAAACAACAAAGUUUUUCAAGUGGCACAUCAAAGCUGGGUUUUCUCGCACCUUUCAGUUUAACCCGCGGAAUAAAUAAUAAUAAUAAUAAUAAUAAUAA